GACGAACCACACAAACGUUAUUCGGAAUCACUGGGCUUAAAGGGUGCGUAGGCUGCGCAGUAAGUUGGGUGUGAAAUCCCUCGGCUCAACCGAGGAACUGCGCCCAAAACUACUGUGCUCGAGGGAGAUAGAGGUGAGCGGAACUUAGGGUGGAGCGGUGAAAUGCGUUGAUAUCCUAAGGAACACCCGUGGCGAAAGCGGCUCACUGGAUCUCUUCUGACGCUGAGGCACGAAAGCGUGGGGAGCAAGCAGG
rnacentral:rRNA from 1 species